CUGCCACCCCGUAAAGAGGUGCUUUCUGCCAUGAUUAUAGAGUGUUUCUGUGUUGCUCACACUGGUCUUGACCUAUUGGCCUCAAGCAAUCCUCCCACUUCAGCCUCCCAAAGCGCUGAGAUUACAGGUAUGAGCCACCACGCUCGGCUGUAUUUUUAGUUUUUAAGGGCACCUCCAUGCCAUCUUCCAAAGUGGCUGCACCUGCUGAGACACUAUGACUCUCGCCAGUGAAAAAAACAACAAAAAAUUCAGCAAAGUGGCUGUAACAUUUUGCGUUUCCACCAACAGUAUACAAGGUUCUAGUUUCUCCACAUCUUCUUGCUUCCUGUUUAAGCUGGAACUUCCUCAGGUCUUCAGGGUUAGGUUUAACUAUCCUGUUUUUAUUUUUUAUUCAGUUUUGGAACUGUGGCUCACGGUAUUCUGUGUAUCACAUCAAACUCUAUGGACUGAACCCCCUCUAAUCCUAUUUUACUUGUGAUUCUUCCCAGAAGAACCUACUUUGUUGCAGAAAAAACUGAAGCUAAUGUUCAUGGCCUUGCCAGAGCUGUCUGCAAAAUGCACCAGCCAAAUGGAAUUAUGCAAAGUUUAUGGAAGAGGCCCAAUUAAAUUCAAAAAGCUGGUAUUGUGUUCUCAAUUGUGCCAACAUGGUGCUAGGCACUGGGGAUACCAAACUAAGUAAGAAUACAGCUUAAACAAAUAAUGACAUAAUGUAAGUAACGUGGUAUAAUAGACAUGAAGUAUAUGGAUAUCGGGGGGAAAGGUAUGAAUGGUGAUCCUGAAAAGUUAGAUUGGAGGGUAGGCAAACAGUUGAGCUAAGCCUUGAAAAGUUAGUAGGCAAGUGUACCAGGCCAACACGAGGACGUAUUCUAUAAUCUGUACCAUGGCUGGUAAAUAUGGGUACACUUGGCACCAUUCCCAUUACUGCACCCAGGGCAGACAUUGCUAAAUGAAUGUAAUGUUCAACCAAUACAUGGUCUCAGAAUCUUUAUUAAUGGUGUUUCAAAGAGCACUACUAGUGCAUCCUAAAUGGUGUGCAAGGUCUUUGCCAUCUGCCCUUGAUUUAGAGCACCUUCUUCAAGUUUCCUUGUUUUGAACAAGCUAAUCAUAGUGACAUGAUUCAAUAGUAUUCCAAGACAGCUUCAGUGAGCCAAAGUUUGAAAGAAUUUGUCUCCUUUUUUAAUGUUUCCUUCCAGGUGGAGGGAAUGCAACUCAUGUGAAACAUCUGGUCCUCUCUGCCAGUGUUAUUUAUUCUUCUCUGGUAGAGUGAGACUAAACUAUCUGAUUGUUAAAUUUGCAAAGAAUAACUUGUAUGUACAUAGCUCAUCUCCCCAUAUUUUCCUUCUGGGAAGAGGAGGUCUCAGUAUCUCCAUUCUGUAUGUCUUUUCUGAGUAAGUGUUUGUCUUGGUGCAGCCUGCCCCACCCAGCCUGAAUGCCAUUCAGUGGGGCUCUUUGGUUUUUACUCAAAAAUAUAUCCUUGGGGAAAAUGAGACAGACAAAGUUAUAUUUCAGAAGAUUGUGUGUAAUAAAGAAAUAAAAGAAAUGUCACUGGGGGAAGAAGAAGGCAAAGCUUCUUUCUGCAUUUGUGUCAUGUACUUUCAAGCCAAAAAGGGAUCAUUAAGUUUGUUUACUCCAAAGAAUCAUGGGUAGUUCUAGAGGUAAGUCUGAAAGAACCGAGAAUCUCAAGGAAGAGCUGAUCAAUCCAGAGCUUUGGGGUUUGGCAGAAGGAAUGGGGUUACUACACUUCAAAAGGUCAGUUACUGCCAAGGCCAAGUAUGUCCUUCUUGGCUAGGGUCAUGUGGCUAACAUUUUCCACUGUGGUAAUGCCACAAUAUGUACACAAUUUCCCCUGGCUUUAUACCCUGGAGUUGAGAGUGUGCAGAUUGCUUUCAUAAUGGCCCCCAAUAUAUCAUGUCCCGUUGUGUCCAUACGUCUUUGCAUUGUGAUUUUUGUCACUCCUCCCAUCAAGAGAUGAAAAUGAUUUUCUGACCCUUUGAAUGUGGGUUGACCCUAUGACUUGCUUUGACCAAUAGAAAGUGGCAGAUGUGAUAUUGUAUGACAUUUGAGGAUAAGACAUAUGAGGCCUUGAAGCUUCCAUUUUCUCCCUCUUGGAAUUCCCAUCACUAUGUAAGGAAGCCUGAGAGAGACUACCACAUGAUGAAAACCAUGUAGAGAGAGUCAAGCUGCCAACCAGUACCUAAGCUCCAAACAUUCGAAUGAGGCCAUCUUAACUUCUUCAGGCCCAAUUAAACUGCCAGAUGAUUACAGUCACACAGACAACCUCAGACAACAGCAGAAGAACCACCCAGCUAACCCCAGCAACUCAAAGAAUCAGGAGAAAUAAUAAACCAUUGUCUUAAGC
rnacentral:lncRNA from 10 species